rnacentral:rRNA from 1 species
UACAGAGGGUGCAAGCGUUAAUCGGAAUUACUGGGCGUAAAGCGUGCGUAGACGGUUACAUAAGUCGCGUGUGAAAGCCCCGGGCUCAACCUGGGAAUUGCGCGCGAAACGGGGGGGCUGGAGUUCGGGAGAGGAGCGUGGAAUUCCCAGUGUAGAGGUGAAAUUCGUAGAUAUUGGGAAGAACACCGGUGGCGAAGGCGGCGCUCUGGACCGAGACUGACGCUGAGGCGCGAAAGCGUGGGGAGCAAACAG